ensembl:lncRNA
UCAAAGACCAGCCUAGCAAGAGUGUGGUGACCAUGACAGAUCAGGAGGCUACAGGGCAGACUUCGUGCUACCAAGCACUUCCUCAAACCAAACCAUAGAACUGAAGUGUCGAGGAUUUGGAGGUCACUGAGGUAAAAUCCAUACCAGGGGUGUGACUCCCUUUGUUGGUGUUUCCAGUAAGCAGUGCCUCAAUCCAGCCUCUCUCCUUGGACGCCACCAACCGGCUGCUUCUUGCCACGAACCCAGGCAGCCCACGUGAGAUUGGGUACAGAGCAAGUCUGACUUUGCACCAGCUCUGAUGGCGAAGACCCCUCUGGGGACCUCCUACCCACGCCCACUCUCAGUUCUGCCUCCCCGGAGCCAUUUGAGGAAUUCUGGAGGAAUUUCCAAGAUGGCGGUCUUUGAAUAUGUCAUGAGAUUUUACCGCGGUUCUGUUCCCUUGCUCCAUCCCAAAGGGGGAAGGCAGCGUAGCAUAGUGGUUAUGAGUCCUGCAUCUGGAACCAAAUGGCUCAGGUUCAAACGUGACCCGCAGCCAGAUCUCAGGGGUCUCGAGUUUCCCCCCGACUCGGGGAGCACAGCCACCUGCUUGCCUAGACGCCCAUCCUCCUCAUUAGCUUGGGCUUCAAAUCUUUUCUGCUGAGCUGUGCAGGAUGAACUCAGCUGCUCCAAUGGGCUUCCUGGCAAACCAACAAAGACACACCACCGGCCUCCCCACCGCAGUCAAUGGCACCGCCGACGCCCAGUGCUCACAAGCUUGGGAAGCUGCCUCGACCUUUCCCUCUGCUGUAUUCAGUCAAAUCCAGUGGAAUUCCUUUGACACCGCCUCAUCGCUGUCAGUCAAGGAGGCUCUCAUGGUACUGGCUUUUAAUUCGACUGCUUCAGCCCCAGGACCUUUGCACAUGCUGCUCCAGGCCACUUUGACCCACAAACUGCCUUCUCUGAAGACUCCAGUCUCUGGGCCUUUGAGGCCUCCACGCUGAUGUAUUUGGACGUCUCGGGGCCGUCUGUUACCGGAGGCCACUCCAGCCCCCCGAAGGCACGUCGGUUCCAUCAGCAGCAGCCCCCGCCCCGCGGCUGCCCAUGGAGCCGUUUGAAGUGGGUCCCGGUGGUGUUUACUCGCCUUCGUGUAAGAAACGCGUGCACAGCUGCCCUGGGUGGGGGGCGGGCGAGAAGGGGGUCCCCUCAUCAGUCACGAGCCUGUUUAUUUGGGAACUAGAGCGGCCCUUUCUCCAGUUAUUACUCAAUGUCCUCUUCAGACCAAGCCACCCUCACUCCAGCAGGUGGGGCAGGAAUAACAAACGCACUGCCCGCUGCCAGACGCACCCAUCUCGCCCGGGCCCCGUGGUGCACUUGGCUUUCAGAGAAGACUUGGAGACGAAGGGUUGGGGGGGGGAUGCUCGCUGGUCCCAAGAGGGCUGGUCAGGAGCACAGACCAGGAGCCAGAAGGCCAGGCCUCAACAUCUAGUUCUGCCUCUUACUAUGUGCAACUCAGACAAGUGAACUCAAUCCUCGAAACAACGCCCCCUUCCCGUAUCGCAGAUGGGGAAAUCGAGGCCCAGAGAAGCUACACAUGCAAAGACCUUAGAAGAGUGCUCGACACCUACAACUUCAAUGAGAAUUGGAAAUUGGUCAUGGGAGAAUUUACACAGUGGAAAUUGGCAAACAUACAAGUCAAGCCUCUCCCCCGCAGAGCUCGCUGUUCACAUGUAAUUGGUGGUAUGUUGGUGAGCGCUGAGGAUGCGUGUCAACCUCUUCAACCCAUAGUACGAAAGUCGCGUGUUGCAGGUUGAGUUGCCUGGGAUUCAUGUGCAGGUGUCUCAUCCUUAGUUCCAGGUCCUGUUGCCAGCUCCAACCCUCUCUUGUCACCAACUACUGCUGGGGAAACCCAAAGCCUUUCCAGAUUCAACCCAAUGGUGCCAACCAAAGCAAGAGGGAUGACAGGUGUGGAAUUGACGGCAAUGGCAGCAGCAAGAGCAGCAUCAAUGAGAACCUGAGAGAAGCAUGAAUGGCAGAGUGAGGAUCCCUAUGACGGCAGCAAUAGUGGCAAGAUCAGAAAGGACAGCUGUACUGGGAGCAUCAUGGAGAGAGU